rnacentral:rRNA from 1 species
AUGGCGAUGGCGGCUCUCCGAUGCGCAGCCGGAAGGAGGCUGGCCGGUGGCGGCCGCAUGCUACCGCCGGCGCUCAGCCGGCCUCGUCCCGCCGCUCCCGGCUUGGGCCGCCCGAAUCUCACCCAGGUGGCCUUCUCAUCGCACGGGAAAGAAGAAGCCGGGAGGGAGGUCCUGGAGCAGAUCCAGGCGAAGAAGGAGAAGCUCUACGACCUCAUCCUGCGCCACGGCUAUAAGCGCAAUGACGGCUCCAUGUGCUACUCAAACGUCCAGCUCAUGCACCAUCUCUCCGCGCACAUCAAGCCUAGGCCCGAAAGCAUCGCGUGGCGUUACCUUCGGAAAGUACAUAGCUUCUAUAUUCUUUGGAUGUGCUUAAGCCCUGGCGUAAGCGCCUACGCAAUCUGGAAUAUCUACAAAGCGGGGGGCAGCAACUUGGGUGCUGUUCAACAGGGAGGAGAUGAGUUGAGGAAGAAGAAUUGGAUCGGU